rnacentral:rRNA from 1 species
GACGAACGCUGGCGGCGUGCCUAAUACAUGCAAGUAGAACGCUGAAGGAGGAGCUUGCUUCUCUGGAUGAGUUGCGAACGGGUGAGUAACGCGUAGGUAACCUGCCUGUUAGCGGGGGAUAACUAUUGGAAACGAUAGCUAAUACCGCAUAAGAGUAGAUGUUGCAUUACAUUUGCUUAAAAGGUGCAAUUGCAUCACUACCAGAUGGACCUGCGUUGUAUUAGCUAGUUGGUGGGGUAACGGCUCAACAACGCGACGAUUGAUAGCCGACCUGAGAGGGGGAACGGCCACCCUGGGACUGAGACCCGGCCCAGACUCCUAAGGGAGGCAGCAGUAGGGAAUCUUCGGCAAUGGACGGAAGUCUGAACGAGCAAAGCCGCGUGAGUGAAGAAGGUUUUCGGAUCGGAAAGCUCUGUUGUAAGAGAAGAACGAGUGUGAGAGUGGAAAGUUCACAAUGUGACGGUAUCUUACCAGAAAGGGACGGCUAACUACGUG